rnacentral:tRNA from 3 species
CUCCCGGUAGCCAAGUUGGUUUAAGGCGCCAGACUGUAAAUCUGGAGAUCGGGUGUUCGACUCACCCCCGGGAGA